AGGGCAAUAAGGUCAUUGCAGUGGGAGCUGCUGGAGACACUGCUGGGCGGGUGCCUGUCCCCUGAGGCAAACCAUGAAUGGGUUUAGUGCCAUUUCUCUUGAGAAAAGUGCAGAUCACGGCGUGGGUUCCCAUUCCCAAAGCUGGAGGUGUUGGGUGCCAGCUCUGGCUGCAGAUGGCAAAGCCUUCACCCGCAUGACUUCUAUGGAACCAAACACCCAAGUCCUGGGGCUCAGCACCGUGCAAUGUCUGCUUGGGAGCCUGCACCCUCCCAGGGACCAGCAUGGCCACAGGCUC